AGGAUAUUAGGAGGAACACCAGUGGCGAAGGCGGCUUUCUGGACUGUUACUGACACUGAGGCACGAAAGCGUGGGGAGCAAACAGGAUUAAAUACCCUGGUAGUCCCCU
rnacentral:rRNA from 1 species